rnacentral:misc_RNA from 1 species
AAAAAAAAAAAAAGAAAGAAAAAGCACAUUUAGGAUAGAUUUGAGAUUGGAUAUAUAUAGACUCCAAAAUAUAUCCAAAUGCAAAUUUGAAUGCAGUUCCUACUUAGCUUUCAAAAUUCACAAACAAUGAUGCCUAUAACAAAGAGAAAACAAGUAAGCCGUUGUUGGUCGUCAACAGAAGAUUUGGUCUCAAUUGCCCUAACUGAGGCAUAUCUGCCAAAAAUAGAAAUUAAAUAUCUAUAAUAACUAUGUAUUUUUCAGUCUCAUCACCCACCCCAAUAAAAUCUACUAUGAGAAAAAAAAAAUUUUAAAAAGGAGA